UAGAAACGUGUAUGUUAUUUCAAGAUCUGAUGAAACAAGUAAAGCAAGGUCUGCUGGUGAGAUGUUUUCUCUCCUGUUGUGUCUCUUGGGUUUAAUCAAUGGAGAGCUGUGUGGGUGACUAUGAGAGGCCCUUUGGUUCUUUGAAAAUACCGCGGGGGCGGGAGCGGGGGCUGCGUGGAGGCGUUGGGGGCUACUGAUGAAGAUAAAGCUGUCUGGCUGUGUCACAAGGGGCUGUUCCACCACAUUCUGACUGAGGGAGGAGAUGGAGAGCGAAUGAAAAAGUGAGAAAGAGUGCCUAAUCCAUCACAGGAAGGGAGGACUGACACAACAAAAGACAGAGUGCGGAGCAAGGCUUUUUGGCGGCUAGGGCCGAGGCAACUUCGACAAUAUUUUUUGGCGCCUGUCAGGCUGUCUAAUAAAGCAGAGCUGGAAUAUGAACUAUCUCUCACUGCUGUAAUACGCCUCAUAAAUCAGAUUUAAUUACGCAGUGUGGGGACAGGCAGUGGGAGCCCUGGCUG